UACGAAGGGGGCUAGCGUUGUUCGGAUUUACUGGGCGUAAAGCGCACGUAGGCGGUUUGUUAAGUGAGAGGUGAAAUCCCAGAGCUCAACUCUGGAACUGCCUUUCAUACUGGCAAGCUAGAGUCCGGAAGAGGUAAGUGGAACUCCUAGUGUAGAGGUGGAAUUCGUAGAUAUUAGGAAGAACACCAGUGGCGAAGGCGGCUUACUGGUCCGGAACUGACGCUGAGGUGCGAAAGCGUGGGAGCAACAG
rnacentral:rRNA from 1 species